rnacentral:tRNA from 1 species
GACCUCGUAGUGAAAUUCAUGUUGAGUUGCAAGCUCAUUGAUGUACAUUAAAAGUUGUGCCGAGGUCU